CCGUGCUUGGCAGGUUGGGUCUUGACUUGGGCAUUUCAUCCUUCCUUUAUCUGUUAUACAUAUUCUGUAUAAACUUUACCAUCUGCAUGCUUGAUGUAAAUCACUUCCCUCACGUUGACUGGAAGGAUUUGGGAGGGGAAGCUAGCAGUUACAUUGCUGGUGUAUUCUCAGCUUUUAUAGAUAGGAGGCAUGCUGCCCAGCUUCUUCUCUGUUUCCACCUUGAUGCUCUGAAGGAGUUGGGGAGGUGACAGCAGAGGGAGUCAUGUGGUUUUCCUUUGCAUACCUAUAGAGAAGGGGUUACCAUUUUAUUCUUUGCUCUUGCUGUCUAAGGUACUUUGUUGAGGUGCCUUUGGGAGUUCCUCUUGGAAAGGCUUGGCUGGAGCUGGAGAAAGUAAGAACAGUUAUGGGGAUAUGGAACAGCUGUGUCGUAAGGAGAAACUGAGUAGAUUGGGAUCAUUAAGUCUGGAAAAGACCACCAAGGGUGAAUAUGACAGAUAUGCAAAAUUAUGAAUGAUGUAGAUGAGGUGAUUAAAAAUAAAUUGAAAAGACAAAAGUUUUCUGUAUAGAGCUUAAUUGAAUUGAUCUCAUCACCUCAUGUUGCUGUUUCUGACUUCCCAUAGUAAAGGUGCUCAGGGGCCUGUUUUGGAGGUAAAAGCCUUCGCAGGGCUCUUGGUGUGUGUGGGAUUUUUCCCAAGAUUUGAGAGAGCAAAGCAUGUCUGGGCAGCCAAGCAGAUGUUGGAGGAGGGGACAAAUGAAAACCAUCUGGAGGUGACUCUCACUGGAAGGAGCUGCUGGCAAAUCUGAUGCAGCAUAACCUGGAGCCAAGAAAGAAGAAUGAAGAGAAGAAUAGUGAAGAAAAAUGGGAGCAUAGUGAAGGCAUCUACAUGUUUUCAAGGAAGAGGAAGAUGUCUUAUCACUUAAAUAAGAUUCAAAAUGUGACUUCAUUCUCUCCAAGUUUUGUGAACUUCACAGGAAACGCUAUUUAACAUAAUAAAACACUUGUUUACCAUUAGA